AUUGAACGCUGGCGGCAGGCCUAACACAUGCAAGUCGAGCGGUUGACGGGAGCUUGCUCCCUGAUUCAGCGGCGGACGGGUGAGUAAUGCCUAGGAAUCUGCCUAUUAGUGGGGGACAACGUUUCGAAAGGAACGCUAAUACCGCAUACGUCCUACGGGAGAAAGCAGGGGACCUUUGGGCCUUGCGCUAAUAGAUGAGCCUAGGUCGGAUUAGCUUGUUGGUGAGGUAAUGGCUCACCAAGGCGACGAUCCGUAACUGGUCUGAGAGGAUGGUCAGUCACACUGGACCUGAGUCAGGGUCCAGCCUACUACGGGAGGCAGCGGUGGGGAAUAUUAGACAAUGGGCGAAAGCCUGAUCCAGCCAUGCCGCGUGUGUGAAGAAGGUCUUCGGAUUGUAAAGCACUUUAAGUUGGGAGGAAGGGUUGUAGAUUAAUACUCUGCAAUUUUGACGUUACCGACAGAAUAAGCACCGGCUAACUCUGUGCCAGCCGCCGCCGUAA
rnacentral:rRNA from 1 species